rnacentral:rRNA from 1 species
CCGUAACUAUAACGGUCCUAAGGUAGCGAAAUUCCUUGUCGGGUAAGUUCCGACCCGCACGAAAGGCGUAACGAUUUGGGCACUGUCUCAACGAUGGACUCGGUGAAAUCAUAGUACCUGUGAAGAUGCAGGUUACCCGCGACAGGACGGAAAGACCCCAUGGAGCUUUACUGUAGCUUGAUAUUGAAUUUUGAUGCAGUAUGUACAGGAUAGGUAGGAGCCAGAGAAUCAUGCACGCCAGUGUAUGAGGAGGCGUUGUUGGGAUACUACCCUUGCUGUAUUGAAAUUCUAACCCUCGGCGUAGAAGACCGGGAGACAGUGUCAGGUGGGCAGUUUGACUGGGGCGGUCGCCUCCCAAAGAGUAACGGAGGCGUUCAAAGGUUCCCUCAGAAUGGUUGGAAAUCAUUUGCAGAGUGUAAAGGCACAAGGGAGCUUGACUGUGAGACCUACAAGUCGAGCAGGUGCGAAAGCAGGACUUAGUGAUCCGGUGGUUCCGCAUGGAAGGGCCAUCGCUCAACGGAUAAAAGCUACCCUGGGGAUAACAGGCUUAUCUCCCCCAAGAGUUCACAUCGACGGGGAGGUUUGGCACCUCGAUGUCGGCUCAUCGCAUCCUGGGGCUGUAGUCGGUCCCAAGGGUUGGGCUGUUCGCCCAUUAAAGCGGUACGCGAGCUGGGUUCAGAACGUCGUGAGACAGUUCGGUCCCUAUCCGUCGUGGGCGUAGGAAAUUUGAGAGGAGCUGUCCUUAGUACGAGAGGACCGGGAUGGACGUAUCAAUGGUGUACCAGUUGUCACGCCAGUGGCAUAGCUGGGUAGCUAAAUACGGAAGGGAUAAGAGCUGAAAGCAUCUAAGCAUGAAGCCCCCCUCGAGAUGAGAUUUCCCACGGAUAUUAAGACCCCUUGAAGACGACAAGGAGAAUAGGUUAGGAGUGUAAGCACGGUAACGUGUUCAGCUGACUAAUACUAAUAGGUCGAGGACUUAAUCAA